rnacentral:rRNA from 1 species
GACGAACGCUGGCGGCGUGCCUAAUACAUGCAAGUCGAGCGAGUCUGCCUUGAAGAUCGGAGUGCUUGCACUCUGUGAAACAAGAUACAGGCUAGCGGCGGACGGGUGAGUAACACGUGGGUAACCUGCCCAAGAGAUCGGGAUAACACCUGGAAGCAGAUGCUAAUACCGGAUAACAACAGAUGAUGCCUAUCAACUGUUUAAAAGAUGGUUCUGCUAUCACUCUUGGAUGGACCUGCGGUGCAUUAGCUAGUUGGUAGGGUAACGGCCUACCAAGGCGAUGAUGCAUAGCCGAGUUGAGAGACUGAUCGGCCACAUUGGGACUGAGACACGGCCCAAACUCCUACGGGAGGCAGCAGUAGGGAAUCUUCCACAAUGGACGCAAGUCUGAUGGAGCAACGCCGCGUGAGUGAAGAAGGGUUUCGGCUCGUAAAGCUCUGUUGUUGGUGAAGAAGGACAGGGGUAGUGACUGACCUUUGUUUGACGGUAAUCAAUUAGAAAGUCACGGCUAACUAAGUG